GACGAACGCUGGCGGCGUGCUUAACACAUGCAAGUCGAACGAAAAUACCAAGCUUGCUUGGUUGAUUAGUGGCGAACGGGUGAGUAACACGUGAGUAACCUGCCCCUUACUUUCCUGGAUAACUGCUCGAAAGGGUAGCUAAUACGGGAUAUUCUGACCAGCCUGCAUGGGGUGGUUUGGAAAGGUUGUUUUUCUGGUAAGGGAUGGGCUCGCGGCCUAUCAGCUUGUUGGUGGGGUGAUGGCCUACCAAGGCUUUGACGGGUAGCCGGCCUGAGAGGGUGGACGGUCACACGGGGACUGAGAUACGGCCCAGACUCCUACGGGAGGCAGCAGUGGGGAAUAUUGCACAAUGGGCGCAAGCCUGAUGCAGCGACGCCGCGUGAGGGAUGAAGGCCUUCGGGUUGUAAACCUCUUUCGUCAGGGAACAAGGCACUGCUUUUUUGGUGGUGUUGAGGGUACCUGGAUAAGAAGCGCCGGCUAACUACGUG
rnacentral:rRNA from 1 species